rnacentral:rRNA from 1 species
CCUACGGGUUGCAGCAGUGGGGAAUAUUGGACAAUGGGCGCAAGCCUGAUCCAGCCAUGCCGCGUGUGUGAAGAAGGCCUUAGGGUUGUAAAGCACUUUCAGUGGGGAGGAAGGGUGUUGUGUUAAUAGCACAGCAUUUUGACGUUACCCACAGAAGAAGCACCGGCUAACUCCGUGCCAGCAGCCGCGGUAAUACGGAGGGUGCAAGCGUUAAUCGGAAUUACUGGGCGUAAAGCGCACGCAGGCGGCUUUUUAAGUCGGAUGUGAAAGCCCCGGGCUCAACCUGGGAAUUGCAUCUGAUACUGGGAAGCUAGAGUAUGUGAGAGGGGGGUAGAAUUCCAAGUGUAGCGGUGAAAUGCGUAGAGAUUUGGAGGAAUACCAGUGGCGAAGGCGGCCCCCUGGCACAAUACUGACGCUCAGGUGCGAAAGCGUGGGGAGCAAACAGGAUUAGAUACCCCAGUAGUC